AUGAGUUUGAUCGUGGCUCAGGACGAACGCUGGCGGCGUGCUUAACACAUGCAAGUCGAACGAUGAUCAGGAGCUUGCUCCUGUGAUUAGUGGCGAACGGGUGAGUAACACGUGAGUAACCUGCCCCUGACUCUGGGAUAAGCGUUGGAAACGACGUCUAAUACUGGAUAUGACUACUGGUCGCAUGGCCUGGUGGUGGAAAGAUUUUUUGGUUGGGGAUGGACUCGCGGCCUAUCAGCUUGUUGGUGAGGUAAUGGCUCACCAAGGCGACGACGGGUAGCCGGCCUGAGAGGGUGACCGGCCACACUGGGACUGAGACACGGCCCAGACUCCUACGGGAGGCAGCAGUGGGGAAUAUUGCACAAUGGGCGAAAGCCUGAUGCAGCAACGCCGCGUGAGGGAUGACGGCCUUCGGGUUGUAAACCUCUUUUAGUAGGGAAGAAGCGAAA
rnacentral:rRNA from 1 species